rnacentral:misc_RNA from 1 species
CAAAAUCAACGAGCACAGAAAAUCUAAAGACCGGCCGUAGCGGCAGUGCUGUAGACUUUAGAGUAAAAAUAACUGUACAUUAAUCAAAGACAUAAUAACAACCAGACAUAGGUAUAAACUAUCAUUUCAACAAACCAAAAUAGUAUGGAUAUUCGUUUGGCAUCUCACGUAAAAAUUUCAACCGUAAUGUACCGGUGUGACCGCAUUAUAUUAAUACCUAUCUUUAAUCUUAUAUCUAAUAUCGAUCAAUCGACCGUCUGGUGAGCAUUUUUUUUUUCAAAUCUUACAACUUUGAGUACUUUUCUGUCUACGGUUUUCUCCGUUUCGUCCCGUCUGCGGAGUAGGUAUAAUACUGUUCGGACAUUAUUAUUUAUUACACGUCAGACGAAUAGGCGCGCGAGUGCGCCCGACGACGCGUCAAUCGCUAACCAACUGUACGCCGCCAUGAACGUCGCACGGUCGCCGACGGCCGUCCGGAUGCUGCGAAACGGGCCGGCCAGCCGCGUCGUCCGCCGUCGACUUUACGCUCCGUCAUCGGGGGUCAUCGGGACGCGGUGCGACGGCAACCGCGGUCGGCUGCAGAAACCAGACUGGAACCGCGCGGUGUCCGAGGCCGAGAAGGUGGUCGGUUACCCGUCGUCGUUCCUGAGCCUCAGGUGGUUGCUGAGCGACGAGAUAGCCAACGUCGCCCUGCACCUACGCCGCAUGGUCAGCUCCAACCACCCGCUACUGAAAACGGUCAAAGGGUUGCUUAGCAACUGCCAGAGUAACAUGCAAGCUUGGGGGUUGAUCGUCCUACUCGUGUCCAAGGCGGCUGGUCAUAUAAACGUGGACAGCUCUGCGGACGAAGACAAGUCAGGCGUUUUACGCAGUCAGAGGGCGCUGGCCGAGAUCGCAGAAAUGAUCCGCACUAGCCACCUGAUGCACAACGGUCUUAUAAAUAUAUACCCAGAAAUGUUACCUAAAUCCGUCGACCACGACGACAUGAGCUUCGGCAACAAGAUUGGCUUGCUCAGCGGCGACUAUCUGCUGGCCAACUCUUUCUACGAACUGUCGAUGCUGAAAAAUCAAAACCUCAUGGAACUGAUCAGCAGUGCCCUACGCGACCUGUCCGAGGCUGAGUUCGUGGGCCGCAGAGACUCGCAAAACAAUCCACUGCCGUCGCCGUUCGAGCCGCUCGACCGAAAGCUCAGCUCGGCUCGGCUGCGGUUCAACCCUCUCCAACCGUCCGGAAAACUGCGGGGUGGCAUGCCGCUAACGCCCGCCCUACGCGACUGGACCAGGCGCAACGUACUGUCAGCCGGCAGCCUGCUGGGAAAGUCCUGUCAGGGCGCGCUCUUAUUGGCCGGCCACGGCGAACGGUUGCAGAAACAGGGCUUUUUGUUCGGCGUAUUUAGAUUUGGAACCAUUUUUGUCUGGUUCGCCAUACUCGUUGGGAAUCUCUUUCAACCUCACUUCAGCACCAGUUAUGUUCCACCUUGAGCACGAUUCGUCAUUGUUUAAAGAAAUCGACAAGGGCAUUAAUUCUGUUCAAGACGUCGACUAUGUCAAAGUGCACGAUGUCGUUAUUAAAGGUCCAGGAAUUAAUUACACGAAACAAUUACAAAAGGAGCACUCA